UACACUCCUGCGGGAGGCAGCAGUGGGGAAUUUUGGACAAUGGGGGCAACCCUGAUCCAGCAAUGCCGCGUGAGUGAAGAAGGCCUUCGGGUUGUAAAGCUCUUUUGUCAGGGAAGAAACGGUGGUGGCGAAUAACUACUACUAAUGACGGUACCUGAAGAAUAAGCACCGGCUAACUACGUGCCAGCAGCCGCGGUAAUACGUAGGGUGCAAGCGUUAAUCGGAGUUACUGGGCGUAAAGCGUGCGCAGGCGGUUGUGUAAGUCAGAUGUGAAAUCCCCGGGCUCAACCUGGGAAUUGCAUUUGAAACUGCACGGCUAGAGUCUGUCAGAGGGGGGUAGAAUUCCACGUGUAGCAGUGAAAUGCGUAGAUAUGUGGAGGAAUACCGAUGGCGAAGGCAGCCCCCUGGGAUAACACUGACGCUCAUGCACGAAAGCGUGGGGAGCAAACAUGAUUAGAAACCCGGGUAGUCCC
rnacentral:rRNA from 1 species